rnacentral:rRNA from 1 species
GGGGAAUUUUCCUGCAAUGGGCGAAAGCCUGACGGAGCAAUCUCGCGUGAGGGAUGACUGCCUAUGGGUUGUAAACCUCUUUUUUCAGGGGAGGAAUCAAUGACGUGUACCUGAAGAAUAAGCAUCGGCUAACUCCGUGCCAGCAGCCGCGGUAAGACGGAGGAUGCAAGUGUUAUCCGGAAUCACUGGGCGUAAAGCGUCUGUAGGUGGUUUAAUAAGUCAACUGUUAAAUCUUGAAGCUCAACUUCAAAAUCGCAGUCGAAACUAUUAGACUANAGUAUAGUAGGGGUAAAGGGAAUUUCCAGUGGAGCGGUGAAAUGCGUAGAGAUUGGAAAGAACACCGAUGGCGAAGGCACUUUACUGGGCUAUUACUGACACUCAGAGACGAAAGCUAGGGUAGCAAAUGGGAUUAGAUACCCCAGUAGUC